rnacentral:rRNA from 1 species
UACGUAGGGACCGAGCGUUGUCCGGAAUCAUUGGGCGUAAAGAGCGUGUAGGCGGCCGUACAGGUCAGCUGUGAAAACUCGAGGCUCAACCUCGAGACGUCGGUUGAAACCGUACGGCUAGAGUCCGGAAGAGGAGAGUGGAAUUCCCGGUGUAGCGGUGAAAUGCGCAGAUAUCGGGAAGAACACCCGUGGCGAAGGCGGCUCUCUGGGACGGUACUGACGCUGAGACGCGAAAGCGUGGGGGAGCGAACAGG